rnacentral:rRNA from 1 species
UAAGGAAUAUUGCGCAAUGGGGGAAACCCUGACGCAGCAACGCCGCGUGGAGGAUGACACUUUUCGGAGCGUAAACUCCUUUUAUCAGGAAAGGAUCAUGACGGUACCUGAUGAAUAAGCACCGGCUAACACCGUGCCAGCAGCCGCGGUAAUACGGGGGGUGCAAGCGUUACUCGGAAUCACUGGGCGUAAAGGACGCGUAGGCGGAUUAUCAAGUCUUUUGUGAAAUCUAGUGGCUUAACCACUAAACUGCUUAGGAAACUGAUAGUCUAGAGUAGGGGAGAGGUAGAUGGAAUUCUUGGUGUAGGGGUAAAAUCCGUAGAGAUCAAGAAGAAUACCCAUUGCGAAAGCGAUCUGCUGGAACCUAACUGACGCUGAGGCGUGAAAGCGUGGGUAGCAAACAGG